CUACGGGGGGCAGCAGUGAGGAAUAUUGGUCAAUGGGCGAGAGCCUGAACCAGCCAAGUCGCGUGAAGGAAGAAGGUUCUAUGGAUUGUAAACUUCUUUUGUAAGGGAAUAAAGUUCGCUACGUGUAGCGUUUUGUAUGUACUUUACGAAUAAGGAUCGGCUAACUCCGUGCCAGCAGCCGCGGUAAUACGGAGGAUCCAAGCGUUAUCCGGAUUUAUUGGGUUUAAAGGGUGCGUAGGCGGACCCGUAAGUCAGUGGUGAAAGUUUGCAGCUCAACUGUAAAAUUGCCAUUGAAACUAUGGGUCUUGAGUGUAAAUGAGGUAGGCGGAAUGUGUUGUGUAGCGGUGAAAUGCUUAGAUAUAACACAGAACACCAAUUGCGAAGGCAGCUUACUAGGAUACAACUGACGCUGAGGCACGAAAGCGUGGGGAUCAAACAGGAUUAGAUACCCUGGUAGUCCACGCAGUAAACGAUGAAUACUAACUGUAUGCGAUAUACUGUAUGUGGUAAAGCGAAAGCGUUAAGUAUUCCACCUGGGGAGUACGUUCGCAAGAAUGAAACUCAAAGGAAUUGACGGGGGCCCGCACAAGCGGAGGAACAUGUGGUUUAAUUCGAUGAUACGCGAGGAACCUUACCCGGGCUUGAAAUGCAGAGGAAUGACUUGGAAACAGGUCCGCCAGCAAUGGUCUCUGUGUAGGUGCUGCAUGGUUGUCGUCAGCUCGUGC
rnacentral:rRNA from 1 species